AUCAUGACGGAGCCUCAGGUUUUGUGUGGGGAGAAACAUAUUAUUGUCGGUCACGACAUAAUGUGCAUUCUCUCCAGUCUCGUCUUUGGCCCCGCCCCUCUUGUUCUCUCGUUUAGCUUCCCGCCUGUGUUUCAUUACCCACACCUGCCCAUUGUUAUCUCUCCUGUUAGUUACCCUAUAUUAUGCCCUUGUGUCUUCAGUCCUGUGCUCGUCCGCGUUUUGUAGCAUUUGCUUGUUUCGUUCGAUUGCUGUUUGCUGCAUUUGAUUCAUGUCUUUGAAGACGUUGCGUCUUGUUCCUGUCUGUAAGUUAUCCCAGUGUCGUUUUGUCAAGUGUAGUUUUAGUCCAGUGUUAGUUAGUCUACGUUCCUGUUUGCCUGUCAUAUUAUUUCUCCUUGUUAUUGUUGUUUUACCCCCCCCCCGUGGGUCUUUGUUUUGUGUUUAAAUAAAUCUUGUUUUUUGUUACCCCUUAACCGCUGCCUGCAUCUGGGUUCUUCCCUACCACACCAUGACAGUAGUACCAGUUAACGUUUAAAUCCUUACCUGUAAUAAAGUAAAUCCAUGCAUAAAAUGGGACACAGCCAUGCCUGAAGGAACCACAGUCACGUAUUUAUUGAAACGCUGCAGGUCAUGACUAAACUAAAGUUUUGUAUUAUAGCACCCGUUACAUGCUUAAUAUAUAGUAUUUUAACAAUACGAUGUAUUUCACUAAUCUAUAUUACACGUUCAUUCCCCCCAAAAUGAGCACUUGUAAAGCACAUUUGCUAUGGGUGAAUACCACCCGGAAGCUUUCCCGCCCCCUGAGAUUUGACUGGAAAUACGUAGGCGUAUUGAGUGUAUUAUGUACUAGAAACUGAUUUAGAUAAAAGCAUUUGCUCUAUGACAUCCAUACUGUUUAUAUGGAAUUGUAGUAUAUGAAACUUACCAAAAAUGUAUAAAAGGUGUAUUGUUACAGUCAUCCCAACAACUGUCUGCUGUAUCCAGCAGCUCAUAAUAUCUGGAUGAGGAAUUGUCGGGUUACAGUCGAGUAAUGAAGCACACAGAUGGAGGCAUCAUGUUUGUGCAUUUCUCUGCAGCAGGAACUGAAAAAGGACGGCAUGAUGAAUGGAUGGAGUGUGUAUAGAAAAAUCCUGGAGAAAGUCCAGCUAUCAGAACCGCCUUGGGACUUGAGAGAUGGCUCAAUGACUAACAGAAAAUACUGUAGAAAUCACAUCAGACUGUCUUUGAACUUAAAUAUUUUGUAUAGACAUGUCAGAGAUCACAUGUUGAACUCCAUUGUUUUAAUACUGCUCAUAUUUAUCAUUGAUUUGGUUUUGUUGGCUGCCGUAUUUAAAAAAAGUAAAAGGGUUGAACAUUUGAUCAGAAUUCAGUCACAUUCAGCUCCAUCGCACAAUCUUUCUCUCUUUCCAAACUUGUGCACGUAAGUAAUCAUUUACACAUCAACUAUAAAUAUACACUCACUCAAAAAAUGUUGGGUUGUAAAUUAACCUGUGCUGGGAUGUUUCAACCCAUUUUUGGGUCAAAUAUAAAUAUUUUUCUGGGUUAAUUUAACCUUUUUUGACCCAAUGCUAGGUUGAAAAUAACCCGGCAUUUUUUUAGAAUGUACACUCUAAAAUACCUUGGGUUAUUUCAACCCAGUGUUGGGUCAAAAAUGGACAAACCCAACCGUUGGGUAUUAAACAGAACUAUGCUGGGUCAACCCAAAUUGCUUGGUUGUUUUUCAAAUAUAAACCAUUUACUGGGUUAUUUUACCCAAAGCUUGGGUUUGUCCAUUUUUGACCCAACUGUUAAAAAUAGCCCAGGAAAAAAUGACAGAAGUUUGUUUAAUAAAUCCCUCUUUUAUUUUUCUGUUCUACAGGUGAACCAUUAACUAUCGAUUCUCCUUAGUUCUGAUGUCCCAACAUUAAAUUUUAAUAUUAAAUUGAUUCAAUUAUAUGUUGACAUGUAGUUUAAUAUCCUCUCUAUCUUUACUUUGCUGUGGAGUGAUUCACUUUCCCACAGGACAACAGGAACAGGCUGCAGCAGUUUAUCCGGAGCAGGCCAGAGGAAGAUAAAUAUACGGGUGAGAUACUUGUACGCUGUUGAUACCUGACACGAGAAGAGGAGGCUGCAUUCCCCCAACAAUAAGAGAUCUCCAGACUGGAUUAGGGUUGGGCUAAGAGGCAUAUAAAGUCAAGCCAUUACCCCGUGAUCGCUGCUGGAAUGGGGCUGGAGAUAACAUCACGGCACGCAGUGGGAAGAGAGGCUUCGCCUAGGCCUGUGUGCUUCUUUUCCACGUCUUUCAGUCGCUGAUAAACCCUGUCUGAUGAGAUUGGACUUCGGGUUUACACUGUGAAUGAUGAAGUUCAUGGCUCAGUGGAGUUUGAUGGAAGUCUGAAGUCCUUCGAUGGGAAGGUGAAGUCCAAUCCCUUCAUUUGAGAUUUCUUAAGAAAAGGCAUCGUCAUGACAUCUUCGAAAUGUUCUGAGGAGAUAACAGAAGAGAAUGAUUACGGAGCCGGUUGGAUGAGACAGCUCGCGCGGGUGGGUCCAGAAUCUCUGUGAGGAAUGCGAGUGAUUCCAGAACCCUGCUGAGGUCUUCAGAUCCCAGGGAACAGCAAGAUCUUCUGCCAUGCUGCCUGUGGGGAUUGCAGUGGGAAAUGUUGGCGUCUCAUAAGACAGACAGUUGAGAGACUCGACUCCUCCGCCGGAAGCUUUUGGCCAGAGAAAUGUGCUGUCAGCCGCCCACCUUCAGAUGAUCGGACGCCGUCGAGAGGCGGCAGAAACCUUGUAAGUCAGACAUGUCAACAUGAUGGACUUUAAAUGGAAUUGGAAUUGAGAUAAUAGCCCAGACACUCAGUCGCUCUGACGCCCUCCAAGCGACAAAGCGAGGCGAUGUCAUUCAUUUCAAUGGAGAGCCGGCGACACGAGCAACAGUGACCGUUGGCGAAUGAAGUGGGCAUGUCUAGCGACGUGACAAAGUUGAGAUUUGGUCAACUUUAUGCAAAUGAUGAGUGACUUUCGGGAGCGACUCAAAGGGAGUAAUGCAGUGGAGCUCAUGUCAUCCGUCUCUCGUCAGUUACUGCAGUGUUUGUUUAUAAAUGUUACUAGAGUAAAUAAAGCUAGGAACGCCUUCUAACGACCUCGUAGCAAAAGACUAGCGACACAGUCACAACGCACAGUGAGAGUCAGUCACAA